rnacentral:rRNA from 1 species
CCCUUAGAUGUUCUGGGCCGCACGCGCGCUACAAUGAUGAAUUCAACGAGUUUAUAACCUUGGUUGAAAAGCCUGGGUAAUCUUUUGAACUUUCGUCGUGAUGGGGCUAGGCCCUUGCAAUUAUUGGUCUCCAACGAGGAAUUCCUAGUAAACGCAAGUCAUCAGCUUGCAUUGAUUACGUCCCUGCCCUUUGUACACACCGCCCGUCGCACCUACCGAUUGAAUGGUCCGGUGAAAUCUUCGGAUUGAGACUUUGUUUUCUUCACGGAAAACGCUGUUUUAAAAAGUUGAUUAAACCUUACCAUUUAGAGGAAGGUGAAGUCGUAACA